rnacentral:rRNA from 1 species
UAGGGAAUAUUGGACAAUGGGUGAGAGCCUGAUCCAGCCAUGCCGCGUGCAGGAUGACGGUCCUAUGGAUUGUAAACUGCUUUUUGUACAGGAAGAAACAGUUCUACGUGUAGAACCUUGACGGUACUGUAAGAAUAAGGAUCGGCUAACUCCGUGCCAGCAGCCGCGGUAAUACGGAGGAUCCAAGCGUUAUCCGGAAUCAUUGGGUUUAAAGGGUCCGUAGGCGGUUAGAUAAGUCAGUGGUGAAAGCCCAUCGCUCAACGGUGGAACGGCCAUUGAUACUGUCUGACUUGAAUUAUUAGGAAGUAACUAGAAUAUGUAGUGUAGCGGUGAAAUGCUUAGAGAUUACAUGGAAUACCAAUUGCGAAGGCAGGUUACUACUAAUGGAUUGACGCUGAUGGACGAAAGCGUGGGUAGCGAACAGGAUUAGAUACCCAUGUAGUCCCUGAGCGGGCUGGCAAGGCGCAU